rnacentral:rRNA from 1 species
UACGUAGGGUGCGAGCGUUAAUCGGAAUUACUGGGCGUAAAGUGUGCGCAGGCGGCCGCGCAAGUCGAGUGUGAAAGCCCCGGGCUUAACCUGGGAACUGCAUUGGUGACUGCAUCGCUCGAGUAUGGCAGAGGGGGGUAGAAUUCCACGUGUAGCAGUGAAAUGCGUAGAGAUGUGGAGGAAUACCGAUGGCGAAGGCAGCCCCCUGGGUCAAUACUGACGCUCAUGCACGAAAGCGUGGGGAGCAAACAGG